rnacentral:rRNA from 1 species
CGCGGCCUAUCAGCUUGUUGGUGGGGUGAUGGCCUACCAAGGCGACGACGGGUAGCCGGCCUGAGAGGGCGACCGGCCACACUGGGACUGAGACACGGCCCAGACUCCUACGGGAGGCAGCAGUGGGGAAUAUUGCACAAUGGGCGGAAGCCUGAUGCAGCGACGCCGCGUGAGGGAUGACGGCCUUCGGGUUGUAAACCUCUUUCAGCAGGGACGAAGCGUUUGUGACGGUACCUGCAGAAGAAGCGCCGGCCAACUACGUGCCAGCAGCCGCGGUAAGACGUAGGGCGCGAGCGUUGUCCGGAUUUAUUGGGCGUAAAGAGCUCGUAGGCGGCUUGUUGCGUCGACCGUGAAAACCCGGGGCUCAACUUCGGGCUUGCGGUCGAUACGGGCGGGCUAGAGUUCGGCAGGGGAGACUGGAAUUCCUGGUGUAGCGGUGAAAUGCGCAGAUAUCAGGAGGAACACCGGUGGCGAAGGCGGGUCUCUGGGCCGAUACUGACGCUGAGGAGCGAAAGCGUGGGGAGCGAACAGGAUUAGAUACCCUGGUAGUCCACGCUGUAAACGUUGGGCGCUAGGUGUGGGGGGCCUCUCCGGUUCCCUGUGCCGCAGCUAACGCAUUAAGCGCCCCGCCUGGGGAGUACGG